rnacentral:rRNA from 1 species
GAUAAACGCUAGCGGCAGGCUUAACACGUGCAAGUCGAGGGGCAGCAUAGAUUGUAGCAAUACAAUUGGUGGCGACCGGCGCACGGGUGCGUAACGCGUAUGCAACCUACCCGUCACAGGGGGAUACUCCGGAGAAAUCUGGGCUAAUACUCCAUAACAUAUGGAUCGGCAUCGGUUCAUGUUGAAAUUUUCGGAGGUGACGGAUGGGCAUGCGUAGCAUUAGCUUGUUGGUGAGGUAACGGCUAACCAAGGCGACGAUGCUUAGGGGGACUGAGAGGUUUUCCCCCCACACUGGUACUGAGACACGGACCAGACUCCUACGGGAGGCAGCAGUGAGGAAUAUUGGUCAAUGGGCGCAAGCCUGAACCAGCCAUGCCGCGUGCAGGAUGACGGCUCUAUGAGUUGUAAACUGCUUUUGUACGAGGGUAAAGUGGGUUACGUGUAACCUUUUGAAAGUAUCGUACGAAUAAGGAUCGGCUAACUCCGUGCCAGCCGCCGCCGUAA